AUGGCAGAUCGUCUACCUGCCUGGCAGUCCAGGCUUCUCUUCCAUGCGGGCAGGUAUGAGCUCCUGCGCACUACUCUGGCCUCCAUGCCAAUUCAUGCUAUGAUGGCGCUCGACUUGCCGGUCAAAACCAUUCCCGCGGCCAACAAGAUUUGCCGUGGAUUUCUAUGGAAGGGGCAUCGCGACGUGCAAGGUGGGCAUUGCCUAGUGGCCUGGUAUCGGGUGUGCAUGCCAAAGGAGUUUGGCGGCCUUGGAGUGCCCAACCUACGGUAGUUGAACGCCGCCCUAUGUGCCAGAUGGCCUUGGCUCAAGAGAACAGAUCCCCACAGACCUUGGGCCGAGUUCAAUAUGCAAGUUUCCCAUGAUUCUUUGGGUAUCUACAAGGCAGCUACUAGGUACACGCUUGGCAACGACGAAAUGACGUGA
rnacentral:rRNA from 1 species